AUUUUGACUAUAUCAAACUAUGUCCGAUACCGAGUGGACAUUGCAUAGUAGUAGCCGAAUAGUAGCCGAUGAGACAUAGGAUCAAAGAAACAUCGCUUUUGUUUACGGGGAGAGUGACAAGGACGGGAGUGAGAGAAAGAAAGGGGAGGGGAAUUGACAUUAAAGCAACACAACAAGGAAACUACACUGCAGAUACAGACGCCUUCAUUUUAUGUUUUUGAAUAAUAGCUCGCCAGCCAGUGUGGCGAAUUGUGUUUAUUGAACCUAUUCUGUGCAUUGCUCUAAAGUGGCCCGAAAAGAAAACCUCUUGGCGGAGUUGGAAAUAAAGCCGCUCUCCGACGCUUUCAGAGAAAUGGGCUCUGAGCCACCCUUGUCUCCACAGGUGGUGGAGGAGGGAGGAGAGGAAGAGGAGGAGGAGCUGAGUGGAGGAGAGGAGUCUGAUCUAAGGACCCCUUCAGGGCGUGGCUCCCUGCUGACUAGGCGAGGCAUCACCUUGAGAGUGCUGCUGAAGGACGGCCUGGUUGAGCCUGGGGACGGAGUGCUGUCCAUACACUACCUGGGUAAGAAGUUUGUAGGCGACCUGUUGAAUGAUGGGAAGAUCCGCUGGGUGGAGACGGGGCAGAUCUUCAAUUCUCCCAGUGCCUGGGCCACACACUGCAAGCGCCUGGUCAACCCUGCCAAGAAGUCAGGCUGUGGAUGGGCCUCGGUGCGCUACCGGGGCCAGAAACUAGUGCAGUACAAGACCAGCUGGCUGCACAAGUACCAGCCCAGUGCAGACAUGAGCCUGGUGAGCGAGGGAGAAGAUGACGAGAUGGGAGAUGAGGAGGAGGAAGAGGGGAAGACGGCAGUGCCGACAGAUGACAAGAACAGGAAGAACAAACCUGAGCUGCAUGAUAUCAGCCUUGUGCCCAGGAGAGGAGACAGAGAGCGAAUCCCAGUCAGAUACUGCACUCUGGGUACCAGGGAUGCUGCAAGGGAUCCACACACGUUGGUGGAGUUAUCAGCUUUCUCAGCCAUUAACAGGUUCCAGCCUUUCAAUGUUGCAGUAUCCAGCAAUGUGCUGCUUCUCAUGGAUUUCCACUGUCACCUGACCACCAGUGAGGUGGUGGGCUACCUCGGAGGACGAUGGGACACUAACACACAACUUCUGACAGUUUUAAGAGCGUUUCCCUGUCGUACACGAUUGGCAGACAGAGAUUCGGCCUCUGCUGUUGAAGAAGAGAUCUGCCAGAAUCUGUUCAUGCGAGGGCUGUCAUUGGUGGGCUGGUACCACAGUCACCCUCGGGGCCCCGCCCUGCCAUCCCUGCAGGACAUCGACUCUCAAAUGGACCACCAGCUGAGGCUCCAGGGGAGCAGCAAUGGCUUCCAGCCCUGCCUGGGCAUUAUCUGUGGCCCCUAUUACCAUGGGAACCAGGGUGUGGCGUCCACUAUAACACCGUUCUGGGUAGUGCCACCCCCGGAGCAAAGGCCCAAUGACUAUGGCAUUCCAGUGGCUGUGGAGGUGACCUAUGUACAAGAUAACUUCCUAACUAGUGAUGUCCUGAAUGAGAUGGUACUGUUCGCAAACUUAUACUGAAGAAAAAUAUAAACGCAACAUGCAAUAAUUUCAACGGUUUUACUGAGUUACAGUUGAUCUAAGGAAAUCAGUCAAUUGAAAUAAAUGAAUUAGGCCCUAAUCUAUGGAUUUCACAUGACUGGUUCAGGGGCACAGCCAUGGGUGGGAAUGGGAGAAUAGGCCUAUCUACUGGGGAGCCAGGCCCAGCCAAUCAAAAUGAGUUUUUCCCCACAAAAGGGUUUUAUUACAGAAAUAAAUACUCCUCAGUUUCAUCAGCUGUCCGGAUGACUGUUCUUAGGCGAUCCCGCAGGUGAAGAAGCCGGAUGUGGAGGUCCUUGGCUGGCAUGGUUACACUUGGUCUGUGGAUGUGAGGCCGGUUGGACGUACUGCCAAAUUCUAUAAAACAACGUUGGAGGCGGCUUAUGAUGCUGCUGGUGGACUUCUACAGGGCAGCCCCUGACCUGGUGCAGUUCCAUCAGUUCUGGUGUCCUGAUACCACCAUGAUGGACAAAAUCAAGGGCUCUCUGAGCGGCCAUGCACCCAAAGACCAGGCCUAUUCUCAGAUCCUGGAGCAUGUCUACAACCAACUCAUCAACACACACUAAGCUGGAGGAGAAACAAGGUUGUGUGUAUGCACUGGCUUCAAAUGAAAAUCUCGAAUAACCCAUUCCUCAUAUAGUUCACUACAUUUGUAGGUCUCUAUAUAGGGAAUAGGCUCUACACAGAGAAUAGGUUGUCAUUUCUGCCCUUUGUCUGUGGCACUUCAACUGCUGCCUUGACCUCAGGCAUACUGUAAGUUGGAUGUGCACUGUCCUGACGGAGGAGAUGGUGACUCCUGAGUCUGGAGGGCGAGUGUACUGUUCUCCAUGGCCUUUUCUGACUGUGAGGUCUGUAUCACUGACAAUGUUUGUACAGUAUGACAUGUGCGUGCUGUGAAUGUGUCCCCUAGCGUCUGCUGCCAGUGCUUGACGUCAGACUGUUGUUACAGAAGUUGACAUGGAAAUAAGGAUCUUCCUCUUCUCUAUUACCUGUGGUGUAUUUAUCUAAACUGUGGUCUGUGACAUGUUAGUACUAAUAUGUGAACAAUCCUUUGAACCCGCUGAAUACCUAAUACAUUAAACACACACUGGAACUA